rnacentral:rRNA from 1 species
UGGGGAAUAUUGCACAAUGGGCGCAAGCCUGAUGCAGCGAUGCCGCGUGAGGGAAGAAGGUUUUCGGAUUGUAAACCUCUGUCAUCAGGGACGAAAAAGGACGGUACCUGAGAAGGAAGCUCCGGCUAACUACGUGCCAGCAGCCGCGGUAAUACGUAGGGAGCAAGCGUUAUCCGGAAUUACUGGGUGUAAAGGGAGUGUAGGCGGAGAUGCAAGUCGGGAGUGAAAUCCAUGGGCUUAACCCAUGAACUGCUUUCGAAACUGUAUCCCUUGAGUAUCGGAGAGGCAAGCGGAAUUCCUAGUGUAGCGGUGAAAUGCGUAGAUAUUAGGAGGAACACCAGUGGCGAAGGCGGCUUGCUGGACGACAACUGACGCUGAGGCGCGAAAGCGUGGGGAGC